AUCCCUUUGGAUGUCGGCCUGUGAUGUCACGCUUGGAGGCUGCAAAGUUUUAGCCAAGAGGAUGCCGGGGCUGAACGUGGAGAUCAUGAACGAGAAUGAUCAGAUGGAGUUUGGGGACGAUGAUCGGCAGAAGGUGGACAAGAUGUACCUGUAUCGAACGCUGGCCGGACAAAGGAGAGAUGCACCUGGAUUCGUCUGGACACUGUAAGGUAAAAGAAGAGGUAGGCAAUAAGUAAGCAAGCAUUAUAAGAAAGGAAGAGGUUGAAUGCAAAAGCUUGUUGGUAGCUGCAUCUCUUGCCUAUCACAGCCUGUGUUGUGCCCUAAGAAAUAUUGUUGAAUUAGUUUGUACUUUGUGUAGGCCAACUGAUCACUGUAAUGGAUAUUAUUACUUGGUGGGUGUUAUUUGUUGCACUUUGAGUUUUAGUUUUGUAAGAGAUUUGAAUAUGGGUUGGGGUGUUUCUACUCCCCUUUUUAUUUGGCAUAUUCAUAUCUUAAAGAGUACUCUCCUACUUGGGAUUUGGGGCUGCUUAUUGCUAUGAUAUAUAUGUCUUUGCAAUUGUUACCAUUUCCAGCCAGCAUCAGGUGCUCACUGAGAAAUGUGUUAUCUGGGUUCCAUGUUUCUGAAUUUUCCAGUUUGCAAUGGAACAACACCCAAGACCUCGACUUUGAAACUUGGUUUGUUUGGAAACAACAAAAUAUUUGUGAACUACUCGACCAGAUAUUUGUUACACAUUCAAUCAUUAGAGUUAGUUUGUUUCUUCCUCCAUCGCUACUCAUUACUCAAUCGUUGGUUACUCAUCGACUAUAUAUUAUGCUAUCUCAAAGGUACACCUCCUCAUGGUUUACAUUUUCCAGGCGCUUCUCUAAAAAAUGUACUUUAUCUCAAUUUAAUUGGGCAGGAUAUCCUGAUUCUCGAUGCUUUAUCACAUGAUUUUGUAUUUUCCUUACAUGUUGUUUUCCUUCUUUAGAAAUCAAAGAAACAACCUACUGUUUCUCGCUUUUUUGCGGAAAUCGAAUACCAUACUCUGGCAUAUAUCUAUGUACUUUCACUGAACUUCAAUGACUAUACGAACUUCUAAAACUUUUACUAUAAACUUCUCUCGGGCUUUCUCAUUUCAUCGUGAUAAUAAAAGAUGAAAAAUAAUCCUUUUCAAUAUGAAAAAAACAAAACAUAUAAAGUUAGAUUGUCAUUUUAUUCAUGAUCAUAUCUUACUCAAAGUCAAAUCAUAUUUCUACUCACAAUCAACUCGUCGAUCCCUUCGCAAAGCCAUUACCAGUCCAUGUUUUUCAGUCUCUUAUUUCCAAAUUACACUUGGAAUCUAUCCUUGCUUAGUUUGUGAUGAUAAGGUUGUUACUAGUUUGUAAGAAAUAGUUAGUUAGGCUGUUAGUAUGGUUAAUUACAGUAUGUUCAGUGACCUUCUCUAUAUAUACUUACAAGCAUGGGUUGUAAAUCCCACUUUUCCAAAUCAGCAAUAACAGAUUCAUUUCCCCUUUUCUCUCUGAUCCAAUCCAUCGCCUUUCUCCCGAUCCAUCUACUUCCCAACACAGACCAAUAGCAUCCAUCCUUCUCAGAUCCGUAGCUCCAAUUUCUGCUCUAAAAGCUCCAAUCAUUCCUCCAGAUCUGGGUCGUCCAGCUUGACUGCGUUGAAUCGAUGCCUGCCUGAUUUUUCGCGGGGUUUGAGGAUGAACCACUUCCCCGAUGAGGUUUUGGAGCACAUCUUCAAAUUCGUGGCGACUCACCAGGACAGGAACUCGGUUUCCCAGGUCUGUAAAUUGUGGCACAGGAUCGAGAGUUACAGUAGGCAGAAAGUGUUCAUAGGGAACUGCUAUGCGAUUAGUCCGGAGAGGGUGGUUGGGAGGUUCCCUGGUCUGAAAUCCAUUACUUUGAAGGGGAAGCCUCAUUUCGCUGACUUCAAUCUGGUUCCUCCUGACUGGGGAGGCUUUGUUUACCCAUGGAUCGAGGCCUUUGCAAGGAACCGGGUCGGGUUGGAGGAGCUCCGGCUGAAGAGGAUGGUUGUUUCUGAUGAAAGCUUGAAGUUGCUGUCGACUUCUUUCCCUAAUUUCAAGUCUUUGGUUCUGGUGAGCUGUGAAGGCUUCACUACUGAUGGCCUUGUUGCUGUUGCUGCUAAUUGUAGGUAAGAAUUUCUGGCUCCUCUCUUAGCUUUGUUCAACUGUUGUUUUGCUGAAAACGAAGAAAUGAGCUUCUGGUGAGACUUGGUGAAUAUAAAUGGGGUGGCUGUUAGGGCAAGUAGGCAGUAAGGAUGAUUUUGGGAAGUAAGGCUAGCUUGAAACAUAGCUUACUUUUGGUACUAUUUUUGUUUCUUCUGAGCUGUUGUAUGUUGGUUGUGAUUUGUGAAUGAAUGAAAAUGUGUGGUUUGGGUUCCCUGGCCUGUGGGAUGGAUCUUUUCUUUAUGUCCUCUGCACUGACCAUGUUCAUCGUGGUUCCUGGUCUCCAUUUGACAAACUUCCCUUUUUAAUUACUUUUCAUUUUCAAAGUUCCCAUCCAUCGCAUUUUUUCUUGUUCACGGGUUUAGUGAUCCUGUCGGCGUUUGAUUGCGGCAACCUGAUAUUGUUGAGUGGUAAAAAUGAGCUCCUUUUGAUGUUCUUGGUGAGAAAUUGAACGAGUAGAACCUGAUUUGCCUUUUGAUGUUGGUGGGUGUUCACCGAUGGAAGUUCUUUCUUCCAAGUGCUUGGCUGUCCAUGUUUCGUUAUAAGUUGCUUGCCUUCGAGGGUUUGAUUGUAAAGCUAAUAUCAGCUAGUUUAUAUUUCUUUCAUUUCUAUAGCAUGUUCUUGCUUGUACUUUGCUGGUUUUUUCUCUUAGUAGUGGCUACAUUUUGGGUAAGGCAAUGCUAGGAGACCAUCCAAAAGGGAUAUCAGCACCUUCCUUAGUUAGUUCACUACUUCACAAAGUCUCUAUAGGUUCUUUUCCUCUAUGUGUUGGACCUAAUAAUAAACCGUUGUUCAUCAAUACAAAACACAGCGACCGAGGGAUAAGCUCUGUUUUGAUAGAGCUCUUUGUUUUUAUAAAUUUUCCCAACCCAGGCAUUUGAAGGAGCUGGACUUGCAAGAGAAUGACGUUGAAGAUCACAGAGGGCAUUGGCUUAGCUGCUUCCCUGACAGCAGUACCUCUCUUGUUUCACUUAAUUUUGCAUGCCUCAAAGGAGAUAUUGAUUUAGAAGCCCUGGAGAGUCUUGUAGCGAGAUCGCCCAACCUGAGGAGCUUGAGGCUAAGUCGCGCCGUGCCAUUUGAUGUGCUUCAGAGGAUAUUGAUCCUUGCUCCCCAGUUGGUGGAUUUGGGUGUAGGUUCUUAUCUUCAUGAUCCAGAGUCUGAGAAUUAUGAUAAAUUUGCGGCUGCCAUUCAGAAGUGCAUGUCUGUUAGGAGUCUUUCUGGGAUAUUGGAUGUUGCUACCCAUUCCCUUGCAGCUUUUCAUGUGAUCUGUCCAAACUUAACCACAUUGAACUUGAGUUAUGCCCCAGGAAUUCAUGGUAGUGAGCUUAUGAAGCUAAUUCGUCACUGUGGGAAACUUCAGCGACUAUGGGUAAAACCCUCUGUUUUAUUUCUUUGUUAGUUGUUCUUGGUUAUCAUAGUGUUCUUGCAUGAUAAAAUCUCGUCGUGUUUCCUGCAUCUGCUGCAGAUACUUGAUUGCAUUGGUGAUGAAGGACUCGAAGUCGUAGCUUCCACUUGUAAAGAUCUGGAGGAGUUGAGGGUCUUCCCUUCUGAUCCCUUUGUUGGACAAGCGACUGUAACCGAAGAAGGCCUUGUCUCUAUCUCAAGAGGUUGCCCGAAGCUUAAUUCAAUACUCUACUUCUGUCAACAGAUGACAAAUGCUGCUCUGAUUACAGUUGCAAAGAAUUGUCCAAAUUUCAUAAGGUUCAGGCUGUGCAUUCUGGAUCCUACAAAACCAGAUGCUGCUACCCAGCAACCACUGGAUGAAGGUUUUGGGGCGAUAGUUCGAGCAUGCAAGGAUUUGAAGCGCUUGUCACUUUCCGGUCUUCUGACCGACCGAGUUUUCCAGUACAUUGGGAUGUAUGCCGAGCAGCUGGAGAUGCUGUCGAUAGCAUGUGCAGGGGACGCCUGUGAUGUCACACUAGGAGGCUGCAAAACUCUAGCGAAGAAAAUGCCGGGCUUGAACGUGGAGAUCAUGAAUGAGAAUGAUCAGAUGGAGUUUGCAGAUGAUGAUCGGCAGAAGGUAGACAAGAUGUACCUGUAUCGAACACUGGCCGGACAAAGGAGAGAUGCACCGGGAUCCGUCCGGACUCUGUAAACUAAGAAAGAGGUAGGGAAUAAGUAAGCAAGCAUGAUAAGAACGGAAGAUCGAAUCCAAUGGCCAUGCAAUGCCUUGUGAUGUGAAAAGCUUUGGUUGCUCCAUCUCUUGCCCUAUCAGAGCCUGUGUGUUGUUGUACCCUAUGAUAUACUUUUUGAUAUACUUUCUACUGUGUAGGCCAACUGAUCACUGUAAUGGAUAUUAUUACUUUUGUGUUGUUGUUUGUUGCACUUUUGAGGUUUAGUUUUGGAAGAGAUUUGAAUAUGCUGGGGGUUGCUUAGUACUUUUUUUAUUUGGCAUUAUCAUAAAUUAGACUACUCCCCGAUUUGGGGCUUAUUGUCUGUGCAUUGGUACAAUUUCCAGCAUCUUGCUUAUCGGUCGAUUGAAAAGAAAUGUAUCAUGUCGAUCCUUGUUGGGUUCCCCG
rnacentral:lncRNA from 1 species